rnacentral:rRNA from 1 species
GACGAACGCUGGCGGCGUGCCUAAUACAUGCAAGUAGAACGCACAGUUUAUACCGUAGCUUGCUACACCAUAGACUGCGAGUUGCGAACGGGAGAGUAACGCGUAGGUAACCUGCCUGGUAGCGGGGGAUAACUAUUGGAAACGAUAGCUAAUACCUCAUAAUAUUAAUUAUUGCAUGAUAAUUAAUUGAAAUGUGCAAUUGCACCACUACCAGAUGGACCUGCGGUGUAUUAGCUAGUAGGUGAGGUAACGGCUCACCUAGGGGACGAUACAUAGCCGAACCGGGGAGGUGGUCGGCCACACUGGGACUGAGACACGGCCCAGACUCCUACGGGAGGCAGCAGUAGGGAAUCUUCGGGAAUGGGCGGAAGUCUGACCGGGCAACGCCGCGGGAGUGAAGAAGGUUUUCGGAUCGUAAAGCUCUGUUGUAAGGGAAGAACGGGUGUGAGAGUGGAAAGUUCACGCUGUGACGGUAUCUUACCAGAAAGGGACGGCUAACUACGUG